rnacentral:lncRNA from 1 species
CAACGUUAACAUGCAUCGAUUUUAAGAUGUAAUUUCUUGAAUAAGGCUGGGCUCAGCAGCCCGCCAAGCAGCUGCUUCAGCCUUACCCAGCAUCAGCCAACGGCGCGAUCAUGCCCGCCCAGUCGUCCCCGCGUCCGUCGAACGGUAAAAUCAGUAACCUGAGGACCCCAACUGAACCCAAAUCCCCCCAUACACGUUCGUUCUGCGACAACGUCCUCUGACAAUGCCGGCAUGGAUUGCAGUUGCCCUCAGGGUUGGCUCUGCGCCUCUACCUCCAUCUCCACCUCCGCAACAUCGCCUUCAACGCGCGUUACGUCGCCGUUCGCCACACUGCCGCCGGCGUCCUGCAGCACGCGUAGGACACGACAUUCACCUCCAUCCAUGACACUGCUUUUGCCGGCGGCCUCCCACUCAGCAUGAAGGUCUGUUAAGACGGCCGUGAAGGUUCCUUUCCUGUCAGCAAGGGGCGGCAGGCUAGGGACGUAGCGGCAGGUGCACUCUAGUGCACUGGGCAGCCCUGCGGCACGUCAGCUGUGGGCACCAGCCGCUGUGUGUGCGCACCAGCCAGUCCGCAGGUAGGCGGCAGGUAGGCAGAAGCGCGGGUGCUGGGCGGCCCAACCGACCUGCCUGGCCGCACCUGGACGAGCCACAUAUUAAUCGACGUGCACUGGUCCGGUCUGGCCUGGUCUGGCCUGGACUGGCCUGGACUGGUUUGGCCCCGUGGCCUGGCCAGGCCUGAUCUUCACUGGUGGUCUGCACUGUGCGGCUUGCUACGCGUGCACAAGGGUCAGGGCCGCAGGGGGGGGGCGCUGGCGCAAGUGUGGUCGUGUCAUAUGUGUUGUUGCUGUGGCCGGACCGCCGGGCGGCAGCAGUGGGUGCACCCACCCACUGCCACCUAGCCCUUCAUUCCUUCAAGAGGCCCCAGGCAACAGGCCG